AUUGAACGCUGGCGGCAUGCUUUACACAUGCAAGUCGAACGGUAACAGGCCGCAAGGUGCUGACGAGUGGCGAACGGGUGAGUAAUGCAUCGGAACGUGCCCAGUCGUGGGGGAUAACUACUCGAAAGAGUAGCUAAUACCGCAUACGAUCUAUGGAUGAAAGCGGGGGACCGUAAGGCCUCGCGCGAUUGGAGCGGCCGAUGUCAGAUUAGGUAGUUGGUGGGGUAAAGGCUCACCAAGCCAACGAUCUGUAGCUGGUCUGAGAGGACGACCAGCCACACGGGGACUGAGACACGGCCCAGACUCCUACGGGAGGCAGCAGUGGGGAAUUUUGGGCAAUGGGCGCAAGCCUGAUCCAGCAAUGCCGCGUGCAGGAAGAAGGCCUUCGGGUUGUAAACUGCUUUUGUACGGAACGAAACGGCUCUGGUUAAUACCCGGGGCUAAUGACGGUACCGUAAGAAUAAGCACCGGCUAACUACGUG
rnacentral:rRNA from 1 species